rnacentral:rRNA from 1 species
UACGUAGGGGGCAAGCGUUGUCCGGAAUUAUUGGGCGUAAAGCGCGCGCAGGCGGCGAUUUAAGUUUGGUGUUUAAGCCCGGGGCUCAACCUCGGUUCGCACUGAAAACUGGAUCGCUUGAGUGCAGGAGAGGGAAGCGGAAUUCCACGUGUAGCGGUGAAAUGCGUAGAGAUGUGGAGGAACACCAGUGGCGAAGGCGGCUUCCUGGCCUGUAACUGACGCUGAGGCGCGAAAGCGUGGGGAGCAAACAGG